GUUUGGGGCAAAAUUUAAGAGGUUGGGGGAACAGGCUGAUACGCGGAAGCGCCGGCCAGGCAGGUGUCCGUUGGAGGGCUCUAAACAUUUACGAGUGACCCACCCCUAGUCAUUGGAAUUCAACUGUGCUCCAUGCUGUAGGAGAGGCAGCAACACCAAAUCUUUAUCUCAAUGUCUGCACUACCUUCCAAACAUAGAGCCUGAGUCAAGAACCCAGUGAGAUCCUGAGGGGAAUGCCUACAGCACAGAGAUUAUUUUCCUCGUGCUACAUUUGUAGCUCUAGAAAAGAGGCUACAUCUCCAGAUGCCACCCCCAUCCAACCUUCUGGAGGCAGCCCCAGGAGACAGCAGUGGUUGUGCACCAGAGCUAAGAAGACCUGGGAGCAGACAAGUUUAGUCCUGGUACGCCAGCAGCAGGACCUGAACCCCAGUGAGUGGGCAAAUAAACAACUCACCCAUCCAAGGAUGAGACAGCAACCAGGGAGAGGAAGCUUGAUUAAAAGAUCCAGAAGAGAGGGUUUCUAGCAAAAUGGAACUACAAGAGAAGAUAGAUAACCCAAACCAAAAUACGUCUAUUAAUUCUACUACUAUCUCAGUCUAUAUCUAGUAGUACACUCCCAACAACAGUAACAACAGCAAUAGCAGCACAGGGGAGAAUUCCAUUUCACCACCUUCCUCCCCUCCCCCCAAAAAAGAUAUUUGGGAACAAAAAUCUAUGAUUUUCAAACUUGAAAAAAUGAGACCCAAAUGAGUAACCUGGAAGACCAAGUGGAAAAAAAUCACUGGAAAACAAUUACAGACCAAAAAUUAUGAGGAAAAACACGAGACUAGGUAGACAGAUCUAGGAGAAAUAACAUGAGAAUGACAAGAAUUCCAGAAAAAAAGUUACAGAUUGAG
rnacentral:lncRNA from 1 species